AUCCAGCUGACGAAUCGGAAAUAAGGCGAACUGCGCGUCCUAGAU
rnacentral:hammerhead_ribozyme from 1 species